UGAGGAAUAUUGGUCAAUGGGCGCAAGCCUGAACCAGCCACGUCGCGUGAAGGAAGACGGCCCUACGGGUUGUAAACUUCUUUUGUAAGGGAAUAAAGUGUAGUACGUGUACUAUUUUGCAUGUACCUUACGAAUAAGGAUCGGCUAACUCCGUGCCAGCAGCCGCGGUAAUACGGAGGAUCCGAGCGUUAUCCGGAUUUAUUGGGUUUAAAGGGUGCGCAGGCGGGAGAUUAAGUCGGCGGUGAAAUUUUGCAGCCCAACUGUAAAAGUGCCUUCGAAACUGGUUUCCUUGAGUGUAGAUGAAGUAGGCGGAAGUUGUGGUGUAGCGGUGAAAUGCAUAGAUAUCACGAGGAACUCCGAUUGCGCAGGCAGCUUACUAAACUACUACUGACGCUCAGGCACGAAGGCGUGGGGAUCAAACAG
rnacentral:rRNA from 1 species